GACGAACGCUGGCGGCGUGCUUAACACAUGCAAGUCGAACGGAAAGGCCCUGCUUUUGUGGGGUGCUCGAGUGGCGAACGGGUGAGUAACACGUGAGUAACCUGCCCUUGACUUUGGGAUAACUUCAGGAAACUGGGGCUAAUACCGGAUAGGAGCUCCUGCUGCAUGGUGGGGGUUGGAAAGUUUCGGCGGUUGGGGAUGGACUCGCGGCUUAUCAGCUUGUUGGUGGGGUAGUGGCUUACCAAGGCUUUGACGGGUAGCCGGCCUGAGAGGGUGACCGGCCACAUUGGGACUGAGAUACGGCCCAGACUCCUACGGGAGGCAGCAGUGGGGAAUAUUGCACAAUGGGCGGAAGCCUGAUGCAGCAACGCCGCGGGCGGGAUGACGGCCUUCGGGUUGUAAACCGCUUUCGCCUGUGACGAAGCGUGAGUGACGGUAAGGGGUAAAGAAGCACCGGCUAACUACGUGC
rnacentral:rRNA from 1 species